rnacentral:rRNA from 1 species
AUUAAACGCUGGCGGCAGGCCUAACACAUGCAAGUCGGACGGUAGCACAGAGAGCUUGCUCUCGGGUGACGAGUGGCGGACGGGUGAGUAAUGUCUGGGGAUCUGCCCGAUAGAGGGGGAUAACCACUGGAAACGGUGGCUAAUACCGCAUAACGUCGCAAGACCAAAGAGGGGGACCUUCGGGCCUCUCACUAUCGGAUGAACCCAGAUGGGAUUAGCUAGUAAGCGGGGUAACGGCCCACCUAGGCGACGAUCCCUAGCUGGUCUGAGAGGAUGACCAGCCACACUGGAACUGAGACACGGUCCAGACUCCUACGGGAGGCAGCAGUGGGGAAUAUUGCACAAUGGGCGCAAGCCUGAUGCAGCCAUGCCGCGUGUAUGAAGAAGGCCUUCGGGUUGUAAAGUACUUUCAGCGGGGAGGAAGGCGAUGUGGUUAAUAACCGCGUCGAUUGACGUUACCCGCAGAAGAAGCACCGGCUAACUCCGUGCCAGCCGCCGCCGUAA